CCGGCUAUACGCUUUCAGUAAAUUUGAAUGUUUACAGAGUAUAGCCACGCGGACACAGAGCACAGAACUCGUCACCAAAACCAUCAGUUGAUUGGCUAUAGAGGACUCGAACUCGUCACUACGAACGUCUAGGGCACAGAGCAAGCCCGUUCCAGGUUUCGAGCAGUUUCGAAAAAUCGGCCUAGGCGCUAGGCUGGAGGACACCGACGCCAAGGAGUUAGCCGGCGCCUAGGCGGCCUGGGAGGAUCUAGGAGGCCUGGGCUGAUCUAGGCUGCCUGGGCGGGUCGUGUCCUUUUUUUUUCCAAAUGAAGACAGACGAAGCUUGCACUCGCAGAGGAAUGUGGUUCGUGAGUGAUAUGAAGAGGCAGAGAAACGAACACGAAGCUUGCACUCGCAGUCCAAUCUACAAAAUUGAAAUACUCGGUCUUGAGCCUCUCUCUCAACUCAAGCUUCGAUUUUUUAUCUUCGGUUUCGGCUGCUGCGUUGAUUCUAUUUUUUUGUGCUUUUCUGUUAUUGAAGUUCGCAACCUUACAUGAACAUCCAAGACAGUUUCUUGAUAUGCCAGAAGAAGCCCAGCAGAUGGUUCUUUAACCUGAGGCACACCUUGCCGUUUGGCAUUGGAUUACACCAUGCCGGUCUGAAUGAGAAAGAUAGAUAUCUGGUUGAGGAGCUUUUUGCAAACAACAAGAUUCAGGCAUUUCUGUUUUACCUCAGUAUUGGUUUGUACCAGCACAUUGGCAUGGGGUGUAAACCUUCCUGGUCAUCAUCUGAUCAUUAUUAAGGGAACAGAAUAUUAUGAUGGGAAAACAAGGAGAGAUUUUGAUUUUCCAAUAUCAAUCACAGAUAUAUUGCAAAUGAUGGUUUUGGUCACACAUGACCAUAUGGAAUGACAAAUGGGAUAAUGGAGCCGAUUGGGAGAUAUGUGUAGCUCUGAAAAGGAGCUAGGUUUUAAUGCUUGUGGAAGAGAUGUGGGUAGCUCUGGCUUUGAUGCUGGUAAAAGAGGCUGGUUGUUCUCUCUGCUUACUCUUGUAAUUGGGCUCAUGAAAGUGGGUCUGAGUUUUGGUGUCCCCAAGAAGACCAAAACUUCCACUCUUUGAUCUCUCAACGGGCCUUAUAGACACUUGUAACCAUCCACACAAUAACUUGCUCAGCAAGCCCCAUGUAUGUUUCUGGCGUGGGCCUACUUAAGUGUGUUGGGUGGUUUAACAUUGAAAAAUGUAUUAGCUUGCACAUAGUUAUUUGACAUUUGCUUGGCAUGACAUGCACACUAUUUGAUCAUGUAUAAAAAAAAAAUUUGUAUAUUCAUUUGGGAAUAAAUUCCUGAAAUACAGCUUGGAUUAGCAUGUGACAACUUUUGGACGUUAUAUUAGGCUAUAAAUAUUCUUGGGCUUCUCUUGA